UACGUAGGCAGCAAGCGUUGUUCGGAAUUACUGGGCGUAAAGCGAACGUAGGCGGUGUUCCAUGUCAGAGGUGAAAGCCUGGGGCUCAACUCCAGAAUUGCCUUUGAAACGGGGACGCUUGAGUCCGAGAGAGGGUGGCGGAAUUCCUAGUGUAGAGGUGAAAUUCGUAGAUAUUAGGAAGAACACCAGUGGCGAAGGCGGCCACCUGGCUCGGUACUGACGCUCAGGUUCGAAAGCGUGGGGAGCAAACAGG
rnacentral:rRNA from 1 species